UAUAAUAUAUAAUAUAUUCUAUAAUAUUAUCAUCUUCCAUAAUAGGGUUGACCCACUCAUGAUGUGGAAAAUUAUUCCAUUCCACAUGCUUCCAUAUUCAUAUUCAAGAAAGACAAUGCACAUUUUAUAAGAUUUUAUAAUAUUAUGCUAUAUAAUAAUAUAGAUUGGAAGGGAAAAAUUGUUCAAUUUCAUAAAUUCACAUUUUUUCUCCAAUUAUCCUCAAAUAACAUCCAAACAGCCUUUGUUAUGCCCGAUCAACAUCCAAACAGAAAAACAAAAAUGGACAAUCCUUGGGACAGGAACAUUUUAUCCCAAAAAGAACAUGAGGUUUAUCCUAGCUAAAUAUGGUAAAAUCUAGCCCUUUUGGCUUAACUUUUCCUUAUCCUCGAAAAGCCCAUCCCUGUUCCAAACUAAGCCUUAGUGUAGGGUGCAAUUUAAUUGAUGGUGUCUAGAUGAAUUGAUUAAUUGACUAUUGUAUUAAUGGCAUGGUUUUUCGUCAAACUCUUUUCAUAAACCGCAUUUUGGGGACUUUUAGUCCAUCCUUUGUGAUUAGGACCUUCAUUGUUAUCGAAGAUUGAAAUUUGAAGCUUCACAAGGAGUAUCCAAUUUGAUAAUUGUUAUCAAGCUUCCUGUGGAUUUGACUGAUAAAGAUUGUUCUUCUUUU
rnacentral:lncRNA from 1 species